rnacentral:lncRNA from 1 species
UCGAUCUUUAGUGUUUUUAAAUAUAGUUUUCGGGUAGGAAACACUUUUAAAGAAUAGAACUGAUUGCUGUAAUGUGUAUUGGCAUCAUCCUUCACCUAAGGAGUAUUUAGAGUAUGCAUCAUCAUAAGGAUUGUUAGCUGAAUGAUUAUCUGGCAUCCACAUUGUGUAUGUUGUUUGUGUGAAUGGAUGAAUGCGUUGUUGUGUAUGUUAUAUUGGUACGCCGUGUAGAUACAGGAAAGACUGUCUGUGUGGACAAAGAGAUUUGUAUAUCUGUGGCAGGUCUAUUACGUUUUGGAGACAAGUUGUAAUUUUUAAAAAAAUAUGGGCAU